GCCCUGUCUGUCUGUUGGUCUGUUGGUCUGUCUGUCUGUUUGCGCCAACUUUAACAUUUUGCAAUAACUUUUGCUAUAUUGAAGAUAGCAACUUCAUAUUUGGCAUGCAUGUGUAUCUCAUGAAGCUGCACAUUUUGAGUGGUGAAAGGUCAAGGUCAUCCUUCAAGGUCAGAGGUCAAAUAUAUGUGGCCAAAAUCACUCAUUUUAUGAAUACUUUUGCAAUAUUGAAGAUAGCAGCUUGAUAUUUGGCAUGCAUGUGUAUCUCAUGGAGCUGCACAUUUUGAGUGGUGAAAGGUCAAGGUCAAGGUCAUCCUUCAAGGUCAGAGGUCAAAUAUAUGUGGCCCAAAUUGCUUAUUUUAUGAAUACUUUUGCAAUAUUGAAGAUAGCAACUUGAUAUUUGGCAUGCAUGUGUAUCUCAUGGAGCUGCACAUUUUGAGUGGUGAAAGGUCAAGGUCAAGGUCAUCCUUCAAGGUCAGAGGUCAAAUAUAUGUGGCCCAAAUCGCUUAUUUUAUAAAUAAUUUUGCAAUAUUGAAGAUAGCAACUUGAUAUUUGGCAUGCAUGUGCAUCUCAUGGGGCUGCACAUUUUGAGU